UCCUGGCUCAGGAUGAACGCUAGCGGCAGGCUUAACACAUGGCAAGUCGAGGGGCAGUCCCGCUUUCGGGCGGGAGCGACCGGCGCACGGGUGAGUAACGCGUAUGCAACCUUCCUUUAACUGGGGAAUAGCCCGGAGAAAUUCGGAUUAAUACCCCAUAAUAUUCUGGAAACGCAUGUUUUCGGAAUUAAAGCUCCGGCGGUUAAAGAUGGGCAUGCGUACCAUUAGUUUGUUGGCGAGGUAACAGCUCACCAAGACUACGAUGGUUAGGGGGUCUGAGAGGAUGAUCCCCCACACUGGUACUGAGACACGGACCAGACUCCUACGGGAGGCAGCAGUGAGGAAUAUUGGGCAAUGGGCGCAAGCCUGAUCCAGCCAUGCCGCGUGAAGGAUGAAUGCCCUACGGGUUGUAAACUUCUUUUAUACGGGACGAAACUUCUGAUCGUGAUCGGAACUGACUGUACCGUACGAAUAAGCAUCGGCUAACUCCGUGCCAGCAGCCGCGGUAAUACGGAGGAUGCAAGCGUUAUCCGGAUUUAUUGGGUUUAAAGGGUGCGUAGGCGGAAUAGUAAGUCAGUGGUGAAAGCCUGCGGCUCAACCGUAGAAUUGCCAUUGAUACUGUUAUUCUUGAGUAUAGUUGAGGUGGGCGGAAUGUGUAAUGUAGCGGUGAAAUGCAUAGAUAUUACACAGAACACCAAUUGCGAAGGCAGCUCACUAAACUAUCACUGACGCUGAGGCACGAAAGCGUGGGGAGCAAACAGGAUUAGAUACCCUGGUAGUCCACGCCGUAAACUAUGAUCACUCGUUGUUGGCAAUACAUCGUCAGCGACUGAGCGAAAGCAUUAAGU
rnacentral:rRNA from 1 species